rnacentral:rRNA from 1 species
UACAGAGGUCUCAAGCGUUGUUCGGAUUCAUUGGGCGUAAAGGGCGCGUAGGCUGCGGGGCAAGUCGGGUGUGAAAUCUCAGAGCUCAACUCUGAAACUGCACUCGAUACUGCUUUGCUUGAGGACUGGAGAGGAGAUUGGAAUUCGCGGUGUAGCAGUGAAAUGCGUAGAUAUCGUGAGGAAGACCAGUGGCGAAGGCGGAUCUCUGGACAGUUCCUGACGCUGAGGCGCGAAGGCCAGGGGAGCAAACGGG